UACGUAGGCAGCAAGCGUUGUUCGGAGUUACUGGGCGUAAAGGGUGUGUAGGCGGUUGUUUAAGUUUGGUGUGAAAUCUCCCGGCUCAACCGGGAGGGUGCGCCGAAUACUGAAUGACUUGGAGUGCGGGAGAGGAAAGUGGAAUUCCUGGUGUAGCGGUGAAAUGCGUAGAUAUCAGGAGGAACACCGGUGGUGUAGACGGCUUUCUGGACCGUAACUGACGCUGAGACACGAAAGCGUGGGGAGCGAACAGG
rnacentral:rRNA from 1 species